rnacentral:rRNA from 1 species
UACAGAGGUGGCAAGCGUUGUUCGGAAUUACUGGGCGUAAAGGGCGCGUAGGCGGCCUUCUAAGUCAGACGUGAAAUCCCCCGGCUUAACCUGGGAACUGCGUCUGAUACUGGAGGGCUUGAGUGCGGGAGAGGGAUGUGGAAUUCCAGGUGUAGCGGUGAAAUGCGUAGAUAUCAGGAGGAACACCGGUGGCGAAGGCGGGAUCCUGGGCCAGUACUGACGCUGAGGAGCGAAAGCGUGGGGAGCAAACAGG